rnacentral:rRNA from 1 species
AAUGAACGCUGGCGGCGUGCCUAACACAUGCAAGUCGGAUGUGCCCGCAAGGGUGCAUGGCAGACGGGUGAGUAACGCGUGGGGAAUCUACCUUUUAGUGGGGAAUAACGCUCCGAAAGGAGUGGUAAUACCGCAUGUGACCAUUGGCUGGGAUGCUGAUGGUGAAACCCUGGGACCUUCGGGCCAGGGGCUAGAAGAGGAUCCUGCGUCUGAUUAGCUAGUUGGCGGGGUAACGGCCCACCAAGGCGACGAUCAGUAGCCGGCCUGAGAGGGUGUACGGUCACACUGGAACUUAGACACGGUCCAGACUCCUACGGGAGGCAGCAGUGAGGAAUCUUGCGCAAUGGGCGAAAGCCUGACGCAGCGACGCCGCGUGGAGGAUGACGGUUUUCGGAUUGUAAACUCCUGUUAAGCGGGAAGAAAGCCUUGUUUCUAAUACAAGCAAGGUAUGACGGUACCGCUAGAGAAAGCACCGGCUAACUUCGUGCCAGCAGC